UCCUUCCAACCCAGUGGGAAGAGCCCUGCAAAGAAUGAAAGCCCCAUAGACAUGUCAGCUUCUGCUACAACUAUAUAAAUGAAAAUGACAUUAAAUGGCAACAAAUUCAAGUUAAUAUUACUACUACUACUACUACUACUACUACUACUCCUGGAUGCUGCUACUACUACUACUACUGGAUGCUGCUACUACUACUGCUACUACUACUACUACUGGAUGCUACUACUACUACUACUACUGGAUGUUGCUGCUACUACUACUACUACUACUACUACUACUGCUGCUGCUGCUGCUGCUGCUGCUGCUGCUGCUGCUACUGCUACUACUACUGGAUGCUACUACUACUACUACUACUACUACUACUACUACUACUACUACUACUAGAUGAUAUUUACCAAAUUUGUAAAAUGAUUUACAUUCCUACAUUAGUUUACUGGGUCCUUACAACAACCCUGGACAAUACUGUCACCAACUUAUCACAAAGCAGCUGAGAAGCUGUUUCUGACAUCUCCCUGUUAAGGCCUGACAUUUCUAAAUUCCAAGAUUUGUAAAGACAGUCUUCAGAUCCUCUACCCUCAGAAGCUUAAGGGUAAAUAUCUUUAUGAUUUGAAUGCUGUUGGUAGAAAUGCUCAAAGAAGAAACAGCACUGUUCAAACAAUUAUUUUUUGAAUGAUACUUUUAUUUCCCCUUCUGCAAGUUCAAAGAUUGUCACAAAAAGAAAAUGUAGCAAAAAGAUUUGGCAAAACAGUAAGUGAUCAUCUAUUAUUCAUAAUGACAGGAAACAAGCUCAUGGUAACCCAAAGCUCUGGGCUCUGGAAAUCACCAGGCAUUAUUCAGUGGAAUAGCAAAAACUGUCCAGUGGGUCUAGGAGAAGAAUUGGCACAGCUCUUUAUCUCCUGGCACUUCUAUUGACGUAUUGAUGUGGCACCUAGCUUUGAGACAGAAACUUAGAGCAUUUUGCAAAGUUUCCCUGAUGAAUCAUCACAAGGUCCCUUGGUUGGAUGGAGACCACUAUUUCUGUAUGGAGAAACUGAUCAGCGGUUGUUCAGUCAUUUCUCAGGCUUCUCUGACUCUUUGUCACCAAAUUUGAAGUUUUUUUUUUGGCAAAGAUACAGCAGUAGUUUGCCAUUUUCUUCCUCUAGUUCAUUUGAUAUAUGAAGAAACUGAGGCAAACAGAGUUAAUCAACUUACCCAGAAUCACAUAGAUAUGAAGUGUCUGAGGCCAGAUUUGAACCCAGGAAGAUGUCUUCCUAACCCCAGACCAGAACACUAUCCAAUGAGCCAUGAUCAGAGGUAGGGUGGUUGAUUACAGUGCAAGCCUACAUACACAGUCUUUUAGGGAAUACAGGCAUCAUCUCAGCUGAUCCUCACAUAACCCAGUGAAGUCAGUCAUCUUCCCACCCAUUAUUUCCACAGAUGAGGAGCCUAAAGGUCAGAGAAGUUAUGACUUGCCCAAGCUCACAAAGCUGAGUCAAAGAUCACUAAUUCUUU
rnacentral:lncRNA from 1 species